UGCGUCUUACCCAUAGACGCAUCACGGUCAUGCGUUUCAUUAACGGGUGACGCAUGAGGGUCAUGCGUCUCUCCCAAAUCCGGAACAAAAAAAACUGCAGUACAAACGAAGAAUGAUAUAUGUAGUCUAGUAUAAAAGAAGAAAAAACCCGUGAUAAUUCUAUGACUAUCAUGUUGUGAUUCUUAACAUGAGGAUCUACUACAUAAUUGCAUGACAUUUUAAUCAAGCUUGAAAUGGAGUGGGGUUACCUUCACUGCACAAUGUUUCGUUGCGCCUACUCUGGCCCUGAUCCCCCUCACUCUCCAACUUGCAAUUUAGUUGAGUGAAUAUGUUGUGGUGGUAGAGGGUGGAACCGAGGCAUGGAGUAUUAAUAGGGGGGGUUGUAACUGAAAGCUGCAAGGUGGCUGUUUUGUUGAGCAGGAAAAAGAGAGUCCGUGGCUUGGGUUGUAUGGCUGUCCCCUGCUGUAGUGCAAGGAUGUACUCGUGUAUUAAUUGCCAUUGCAUCUUUGUUUUGCUACUCCACUGCAGUGGCCUUACUCCUUGGUCCUUUGCGGCCUUUAUCAUGGGUUUCUGGUGUGUUUUGUAGGUACACAAACAAAGGUUGUGGCUGUGGUCUGCGCCUGCAGGCUGCUGCAGUUAAGGAGAUGGCACGACAUCUUCAUGGCAGCCUCUGGUUGGCUAGGGAAUGCAGACUGUGGCAGGUUGUUGCAGCCCUUCAUUCCUACUCAUUUUGGGAAUAAGGUUGGCUACAUAUGGUUAUCACCCUGAUGUCCCAGCCCGUUGGGCCGUCUGAAAUUGGGUCGAGACCGUGCUAAAGGAGAGGCCCAAAUUCGGCCUUCCUUUGCAUUGUAAUAGGAUAUGUUUCUUUUUCUAUAGUUUUCCUUCUUCCAACAUGUAUGGAGUAUAUUUUUUUUAUAAACUAGAAAGUAUUAUUUUCCUUCAUUUUCAUUAUCGUACAUUUGGUAAGUUAAGACAUUGUUCGGAAAGUAUCACAUUGUACAUUAUUUAAUAAACGGACACAUUCCCAUUUA